UUUUUUUGCAAUCAUAGCAUCAAGCUUGUUCUUGUCAAGUUCUCAUCCUCUCAUAUCCAGAAAUCAGAUGAGUAGUAGCCAGCCCUUAGACUGCAUUGCCGGCUACCCCAUUAGUAGGUAGAGCCCUUUUUUGACGUUAUGCUUGAGCUUGAGCUCCCAGCCGAAGCGCUGCUUGCUGGAUAGAAGUACUAUCCCAAGUCAUGGCAGAUCUGGUCGGAAAAGGGAAAGGCAAACAAAUCAACUAACGGAAGCACCAAUUGGGGAGGGGUGGAGAGGGAGAGGAGAGUGAGAAGAACACUCACCGUCGGGGGAGGGGAAGCACCAGCAGUCAACGGCCAGAUCCUUCUUCAAAUGAACCGGCGGGCGCAGAUCGGAGGAAGCCCAUGCCGUGGCAGCGGUGGUGACGGCG
rnacentral:lncRNA from 1 species